ACCCCUUGGCCAUGGGCAAAGAAACACUUCAUUGGUGGUGGUUUUCUUAGAUCAGGCAGUGGCAGAACAAAUAGAAGGCCUUUGUUUAUCCUAGCUUGAUGCCUAACUUGGUGGCCAGAGCUGUUUCUUUCCUAGGGCACAGUC